AUACGGAGGGGACUAGCGUUGUUCGGAAUUACUGGGCGUAAAGAGUUCGUAGGCGGACUGAUAAGUAAGAGGUGAAAUCCCAGGGCUCAACCCUGGAACUGCCUUUUAAACUGUCAGUCUAGAGACCGGAAGAGGUUAGGGGAAUACCUAGUGUAGAGGUGAAAUUCGUAGAUAUUAGGUGGAACACCAGUGGCGAAGGCGCCUAACUGGUCCGGUACUGACGCUGAGGAACGAAAGCGUGGGGAGCAAACAGGAUUAGAAACCCGGGUAGUCC
rnacentral:rRNA from 1 species